AGUGAACGCUGGCGGUAUGCCUAACACAUGCAAGUCGAACGGCAACACAGUAAGAUCUUGCUCUUACGGGUGGCGAGUGGCGGACGGGUGAGGAAUACAUCGGAAUCUACUUUUUCGGGGGGGAUAACGUAGGGAAACUUACGCUAAUACCGCAUACGACCUACGGGUUAAAGCAGGGGAUCUUCGGACCUUGCGCGUUUGAAUGAGCCGAUGUCGGAUUAGCUAGUUGGCGGGGUAAAGGCCCACCAAGGCGACGAUCCGUAGCUGGUCUGAGAGGAUGAUCAGCCACACUGGAACUGAGACACGGUCCAGACUCCUACGGGAGGCAGCAGUGGGGAAUAUUGGACAAUGGGCGCAAGCCUGAUCCAGCCAUACCGCGUGGGUGAAGAAGGCCUUCGGGUUGUAAAGCCCUUUUGUUGGGAAAGAAAAGCAGCAGGUUAAUACCCCGCUGUUCUGACGGUACCCAAAGAAUAAGCACCGGCUAACUUCGUG
rnacentral:rRNA from 1 species